rnacentral:rRNA from 1 species
CUCUUGGUCUUUUUAUUAGGGCGUGGGGUAGCAGCAUAUCUAUCUAUCACCUACUGACCCGGUCAAAAUUGAUCGCCAACGAAAAUACUACCAGCAAACUCUUUCUCCCCCGAUCCGGGUGACACGGGGGCAGAUAACCUAGCGCCGCCCCUUCUCCACUAUACGCCCUCCCACGUCUUGCCGCCGCCAUAGGUGGCCGCCGGCGAAGCUCAGCUGGCUCCGAGGACGGCGGCGGCGGGCUGUUUCUCCAGCUGAGCUACUCCUUCUAUCUGCGGAGGGCAGGUGGCUGAGGCCGUCGGCAGGCGCUCGGGUGACGGAUCUGCGAGUAGGGGGUGCAGGCGGCUGUCCUGAGGUGGUGGUGCCGGCGGCGGCGCAUGGGGCUGACCUCCGGUGGUCGCGCGACGGCAGCGGCUGGGCGGGCCAGAUCUGGCCCCGCCAGGGCCGGCGUCUCUCUUUCAUUUUACUCUGUUGUCAUUUGGUUUUGUUUGCACGAUGCAUAUACGUUAAUUAACAGUUAACACUGCUGGACUUGGCCAGGAGUGAUUCGAUGGAGGAUGACGAGUGGACAAGUCUUGGCGUGGCUGGACGCUCUUAGCUCCAUGAGGAGGACGGAAGUGGAUCCUCUAACAUACACAAGGAAUGUUAGAGAAGCUACAGUACCCUAACUUUCCUUCUGUUAAUCCAUACAAUUAAGUCUAAAAUAACUUAAAUUAUUUUUUAAAUUACAGAUCUAGUAUGCACAUUCAUAGUAAUUACAUACAAACAAGUUGAUGGUGAGAUAAAGUUAAUUUUAGAUUUUUUAUAUCUACAGUAAUUACCAAAAGUAAAUAACUUGCUAAUAGUCCGUAACAUUCCUUCUUCAUUUUACACUAGACGCGCACUGUAGCACCGUGACAUCCCUUCUCUAAGUUAGAGGAUCCGGCUCCGAGGAGGACAUACUUGAUCCCCAUGGACGCCAAGGAGGCUAGGAUACAGGCAGAGGUAGAGGAGGCAAGGAUGAAGGAGACGGCCGCUGCGCAAAAUUUGAAUAAACUAGAAAUAUCCUGGAAACUUUAAUAUUUGGAGUAUCAAAUUCAGUUUUUUUCUUUGAAUACAUCCUUAAAAUCACUAAGCUCCCUGGGAUUGGAGCUCCUAGGGAUGAUUGAGGUGAUCGAUUUGGUUUGUGUCGUCGAUUUUGACUGGGCCAUUGGUUUCAUGGAAACUUUUUAGUUGACAGCCACGUAUGUUCAUGUUUUUAUACAUAUCUACUGGAGAAAACAUUGUACAUCUUAUGGUGAUUAGAACAAGUACUUCGCUUAUGUAUGGAGAUUUGGUACUCCCUCCGUUUUUAUUUAGUUCGCAUAUUAGUUUUGGUCAAAGUCAAGUUUUGUAAACUUUGACAAAGUUUCUAAACAAAAAUAUUAACAUAUACAAUAACAAAUCAAUACCAUUAGAUUCAUUAUUUAUUAUACUUUCACGUCAUAUAGAUUUGAUAUGGUAAAUGCUUAUAUUGUUUUCUAUAAACUUGAUCAAACUUUACGAAGUUUGACUUCAGUCAAAUCUAAUACGCGAACUAAAUAAAACGGAGGGAGUAUAUGCUUAGGUUAGGUUAUGUUUCUGUUUCUCUCCCCUUAAUUAUUUAUUUUGAGAAACGCACAGUAGUAGUAGUAUGCAGAUUAGAUAUAUGUUUAGGCCAUGUCCUUUUAGUAUAACUCUCUCUCUCUCUCAGCCAUUUUUUUUUUCAAUUUGCCCAGCUUAUGCUUUUAGAGAGGUAUGUUGGUAGAAAUAAGCUUCUUAAAAAAGCAUAUAGUUGCGUUCUUCUUUUGUCACCAAUAGUAAGCACUAAAAAUCAAACAAAACUCAGCCCUUCAUUUUGGGUUUAACAACGAGCAUAGUCCUACAAUCCACUUAGGAAAGUUGAGCUUGUAGGAUUGUUAUGUGCUUUUAAAUAAGUAACCAUACAUACAUAUUAUUUUGUUUGCCAUUUAGAAUUAAAAACUGGUAAAGAUAAGUAUUUAUUCAUAUUCUUGCUCUUUUUAUAUAUAUGUUCAUGCCAUAUUUCAUUAAAUGUUAAAAGUUCAUUCAUAUUCUUGCUCAUUUUACAUGGAUGUUCAUGUCAUACCACCAAAUGCAGGGUAGAAGCAGUUUUUCCCAGAGCACUAAAUGUGGGAGGUGAUUUAGGUAGCAUGUGCGCCUUCACGGUCACUAGAAGAUCCAGGGAACAAAAUGCCGGUUCGCCAGCAGCUGGUCCUUAGAUUGGUUGCCUCUCCUGGUAC